rnacentral:rRNA from 1 species
AUUGAACGCUGGCGGCAGGCCUAACACAUGCAAGUCGAACGAGUGGCGGACGGGUGAGUAAUGUCUGGGAAACUGCCUGAUGGAGGGGGAUAACUACUGGAAACGGUAGCUAAUACCGCAUACCAUCGGAUGUGCCCAGAUGGGAUUAGAUAGUAGGGGGGGAAAAGGCGCACCUAGGCGACGAUCCCUAGCUGGGCUGAGAGGAUGACCAUCCACACUGGAACUGGGACACGGUCCAGACUCCUACGGUAGGCAGCCGUGGGGACUAUUGCACCAUGGGCGCAAGCCUGAUGCAGCCAUGCCACGUGUAUGAAGAAUGCCUUCGGGUUGUAAAGUACUUUCAGCGGUGAGGCGUUACCCGCAGAAGAAGCACCGGCUAACUCCGUGCCAGCAGCCGCGGUAAUUC